AUCUCCAUUCUCCAAAAUCUUCAAGUCUCCCAAUUCUCAUUUCACAUUUCUCAUCAAUUGCCACAAAAUGGCAUCCUCAACUGCUCAAAUCAACGCUCUAGGCGGCGUGGCUCACUUCACAACCGUCAAAUUCUCCAGAGCUCAUCCCAAUAGAACCGUAUUUUUCGGCACCAAGCUCAACGCCAGCUCCGGAUUGAAACUCAAGAGCAGUAAGCAUCGGCGCGCCUCUACUUUCCGUGUGGUGGCGGAGAAAGUAGUCGGAAUUGAUCUCGGCACCACCAAUUCCGCUGUGGCUGCAAUGGAGGGUGGAAAACCUACCAUCGUCACCAACGCCGAAGGCCAGCGCACCACGCCCUCUGUGGUCGCCUACACUAAAAAUGGCGAUAGGUUGGUAGGCCAGAUUGCGAAGAGGCAGGCCGUGGUGAAUCCAGAGAAUACAUUCUUCUCCGUGAAGAGGUUUAUUGGGAGGAAGAUGUCCGAGGUCGAUGACGAGUCCAGGCAGGUUUCGUAUAAUGUCGUCAGGGAUGAAAACGGGAACGUCAAGCUUGACUGCCCUGCCAUUGGGAAACAAUUUGCAGCUGAGGAAAUAUCCGCUCAGGUUUUGAGGAAGCUUGUUGAUGAUGCGUCAAAGUUCUUAAACGACAAGGUCACCAAAGCAGUAGUUACAGUCCCUGCUUACUUCAAUGAUUCUCAAAGGACAGCAACCAAGGAUGCUGGUCGCAUUGCUGGAUUGGAGGUUCUCCGCAUUAUAAAUGAACCUACUGCUGCAUCGUUGGCCUAUGGUUUCGAGAGGAAAAGCAAUGAAACUAUUCUGGUUUUUGACCUAGGAGGUGGAACUUUUGAUGUCUCAGUCCUUGAGGUUGGUGAUGGUGUGUUUGAAGUGCUUUCUACUUCCGGAGACACUCAUCUUGGUGGUGAUGACUUUGAUAAGAGAGUUGUUGAUUGGCUUGCUGCGGAUUUCAAAAGGAAUGAAGGGAUAGAUCUAUUGAAGGACAAACAAGCUCUUCAACGUUUGACGGAGACUGCAGAGAAAGCCAAAAUGGAGCUUUCCUCUUUGACUCAAACUAACAUUAGUUUGCCUUUCAUUACUGCCACUGCAGAUGGCCCUAAACAUAUCGAGACCACACUUACACGAGCUAAGUUUGAGGAACUGUGCUCUGAUUUGCUUGACAGGCUAAAAACCCCAGUUCAAAAUUCAUUGAGGGACGCGAAGCUUUCCUUGAGUGAUAUAGAUGAGGUAAUUCUGGUGGGUGGUUCCACUCGUAUUCCAGCAGUUCAGGAGCUUGUUAAGAAGAUGACUGGAAAGGACCCAAAUGUUACUGUGAAUCCCGAUGAAGUGGUAGCCCUUGGAGCUGCUGUUCAGGCUGGUGUUUUGGCGGGAGAUGUUAGCGAUAUUGUCCUUUUGGAUGUAUCACCAUUAUCUUUGGGACUGGAAACACUUGGUGGUGUGAUGACAAAGAUUAUUCCCAGAAAUACCACAUUGCCCACUUCAAAAUCAGAAGUAUUCUCAACUGCUGCGGAUGGUCAGACCAGUGUCGAGAUCAAUGUCCUUCAAGGUGAAAGGGAGUUCGUUCGGGACAACAAAUCCUUAGGCAGUUUCCGCCUUGAUGGAAUUCCACCUGCUCCCCGUGGUGUCCCACAGAUUGAGGUCAAGUUUGAUAUUGAUGCGAAUGGAAUCCUCUCAGUUACUGCUAUAGAUAAGGGAACUGGGAAGAAGCAAGAUAUCACAAUUACUGGUGCCAGCACAUUACCUGGUGAUGAGGUGGAGAGAAUGGUCAGUGAAGCUGAAAAAUUUGCAAGUGAAGACAAGGAGAAGAGAGAUGCAAUAGAUACUAAGAAUCAGGCUGACUCAGUAGUUUACCAAACAGAGAAGCAGUUGAAGGAACUUGGUGACAAAGUUCCUCCCCCUGUAAAAGAGAAGGUCGAGGCCAAACUUGGAGAACUGAAGGAUGCAAUCUCUGGAGGAUCAACCCAAGCAAUGAAGGAUGCCAUGACUGCACUAAAUCAGGAAGUCAUGCAGAUAGGCCAGUCGCUGUACAACCAACCUGGUGCAGAACCUGGCGCAGGCCCAACCGCUGGUGGUGGUGCUACUUCAGAAUCAUCGGAGAAGCGACCUGAUGGUGGCGAUGUCAUUGAUGCAGAUUUCACAGACAGCAAAUGAGAGCAUAAGAUAUUCUUACCAAAUUUUGUGGACAUACAAGAGAAGUAGCUGGGACAAGGGGAAUUGAGAAAACAAUAGGACCUGAGAUAGAAAGAUUAUAGAUCAAGCAGCAGUUAUGCCAAAAUUUCGAUUGCUUGAAGGUUCCCUGGCCACAAUGAUCAUUGGUGCUUGCAUUUGUUGCAAUGUUCUAUUCCUCCGCCUCGAUUGGGAUCUCUGGAUGGAUUGUAAUAAGACGUGGGAGGAGCAGAGUUAUCUUGUUGGAGCCUAGCAGCUCCGGACCUCAUCGGACUGGGAGACCUAAAACUGUUGGUGUGGUAGUAUUGAGGAGGAAGUUGCUGCUGAUGAUGGGUAGGAGGAGAAGAGUAAUGGUUCUGUUGGGGGAUGUUGAGGAGGUUGCAUAUGCUGGGUGAGCUUUGGAUCCUCUGAAUAUUUCCAAAUGUAUGAGCUUCAGCAGCGUAGCUGUCAGGAGACCGGGGGGAUGUGCAGGCGGAGGAGGCGAGGGAGCUGACUCUGGUGCGCGACCGGGGGGAUGUGCAGGCGGAGGAGGCGAGGGAGCUGACUCUGGUGCGCUUGCUAGAGUUAGAGAGGUGCCUGGGAGUGAUGAGGCCAUUGAUGGAAAAGAUGUAGCACUGAUCCAACGUCAGUUGGUCGUCCAUCACCAUGUUGUUGUUGUUGUUGUUGUUGGGUUUGUGGUUGUGGACGGGGAAGAGGAAAGUCCGCAUUCUGGGAAACCCCAUCAUUUGGUAAUUCUCCACUUCGUCGAACAUGUUCCCCAAAUCCUCGUCCGAUUUCACCGUCACUAAGGCGUCGAGAUCCUCCGUCGCUAGCUGGUACCGGAGCACCAUUUCCCCCUCCAUCAUGUAGGUCAAUCGCUUCAUUGCUUCUGUAAAUAAAUAAGUUCAUUUAUUAAAAUUUAAUCAAAUUUUGUGAUCAGAAAAUUGUGCGUUGGUGUGUAUGUAUUUUCAUUUCUCAUGUAAUAGUAAUGUUAUUCUCGAAUUCAUGAGGAUUGCUCUUA